AAAAAACUACUUCGUAACGGCUACCAUUUCACGAGGAGAUCUUGCCGACAGUGCCCCGAUUCUGCAUGCUACAGCGCAAGAGCAAUACAAGAGGGACUAUUAUUUUCAGUACUUCGAUGGCAGUAGAAAGUGCGCAGUUAUUUCAUUUGACCAUGAACAAGACGCACCCAAAUGCGAAAUUCAUAUCUGGAAAUUGACAGCGAGCAGAGGACCGUCAGUGAACUGCAAAAGAGUGUAUGAGUAUUUAUGUCCCAGGCGACGUCAUUACCAAGUUUAUGAGUCAAGUUGUUUCUAAUGCAGAAAUCGUGAAGUUAUAUUUGAACGACACUAGAAUACAUCAACAGUUGCACAGUUUUGCUCUAUAAUGAAAUUGAACCAACAGGAAUAAUUUUUCUCCAACCACCGGCUAUUCGUAUUUGUUCUCUAUAGUUUCUCUUUGCAUUGUCCUUUCUACUCGAGAAU
rnacentral:lncRNA from 1 species